UACGGAGGAUCCGAGCGUUAUCCGGAUUUAUUGGGUUUAAAGGGAGCGUAGGCGGGUUGUUAAGUCAGUUGUGAAAGUUUGCGGCUCAACCGUAAAAUUGCAGUUGAUACUGGCAUCCUUGAGUACAGUAGAGGUAGGCGGAAUUCGUGGUGUAGCGGUGAAAUGCUUAGAUAUCACGAAGAACUCCGAUUGCGAAGGCAGCUCAUUGGACUGCAACUGACACUGAGGCUCGAAAGUGUGGGUAUCAAACAGG
rnacentral:rRNA from 1 species